GAUGUAAUUAAUGACAGAUGUUUGCAGCAUAUCUUCUGCAUAAGUUAACCUACUUUUUUCCACUUUGGGUCUAGGCAUAGACCUGGAUGGAUUCCACGACUUCUAGACAUAAAUCCUUACAAAACCUUUCAGAAGAGCUCUUACUCGUCUCCGGAGGGUUAUUCGAAGGACUAUGAAGAUGCUAACAGCUUUGAAGAACUCUUUGGGCAGCAAUAUCAUCCAUCAACAGGGAAUGAAGAUAAUUAUGAGAGAUACCAAUAUUCUCAAAAAGAUGAUGACUACACAAAGGACGUUCUUCGGGACAAGCUGUACUUGCAGUUUUACCAGCAGUUAAAGAAGGAGUACGACAAAGACCGACCUUCAGACUGUGUCAUUGUUUCCAUCAGCAAGGAUCAAGCGUAAGUUUGUUUUUAAGGAUGUACUUAAGGAUUUGAGCUGAGCUGUGAACUAACAUCUUAAAGUGUAAUUUGGUCUUGAGCAAAUACAGCUAAUCUUUUUAGGAUUUCUCUGCUUCCAUACCAAAAUUUUACCUGAAAUGGUACCAGCUGUGACAGUUAUGCAAGCCUAAAGCCUGUACUACAUGGGAUAGCAGCAGGGGUGUGUCUUUAAAGUUGGAACUGCCUUAUUUGCAUGUAAGGAGAGAUAUUAAAGGGACAUGCCAGAACUUUCCCUCAGGUUCUUUUCUUCUUAGCUGUGUUGGUAUUGGAGCCUCCCUGGGAAAAGCACUUAGUGGUAUGGGCAGUGGGGAUAAAAGUAAUGGGGGUCAGCUCC